GGCGUACGGGUGAGUAACACGUGGAUAACCUACCUCCGAAUGGGGAAUAACCCUGGGAAACCGGGGCUAAUACCGCAUAACAUCCCGAUACUUCGGUAAUGGGAUUGAAACUUGGUAACGAGGUUUGGAGAGGGGUCCGCGGCUGAUUAGCUAGUUGGUGAGGUAACGGCCCACCAAGGCUAUGAUCGGUAGCCGGCCUGAGAGGGCGGACGGCCACACUGGAACUGAAACACGGUCCAGACUCCUACGGGAGGCAGCAGUGGGGAAUUUUGCGCAAUGGGGGCAACCCUGACGCAGCAACGCCGCGUGGAUGAUGAAGACCCUUGGGUUGUAAAAUCCUUUCGGUAGGGACGAAACCGGGCAACCGGUUGACGGUACCUGAAGAAGAAGCCCCGGCUAACUCCGUGCCAGCCGCCGCGG
rnacentral:rRNA from 1 species